rnacentral:rRNA from 1 species
GGUGAACGCUAGCGGUGCGCCUAACACAUGCAAGUCGAGCGGUAGAAUUAAUAUUGAGUCUUCGGAUGAUUUAUUGAUUUGAGAGCGGCGAACGGGUGAGUAACACGUGGGGACCUGCCUGAUAGUAAGGGACAACAGUUUGAAAAGACUGCUAAUACCUUAUACGCCCUUUUGGGGAAAGAUUUAUCGCUAUCAGAUGGACCCGCGCUAGAUUAGAUAGUUGGUGAGGUAAUGGCUCACCAAGUCUACGAUCUAUAGCUGGUUUGAGAAGAUGAUCAGCCACAUUGGGACUGAGACACGGCCCAG